CGGGAAUCUGAUAGUCGGGGAACUCGACUAUAGCUUUUUAUCUUGUUUUGUUUUAAUUUCUAUACAGAAAUAGUACAAAUUAAUGAAGGAAUUGAAAUAAAGAUUUAUGAUAAGGCGCUUAAAAAAGUUGCCAUUUUUUAAAUUUAAAUUAUACAUUUUUUUUAGAAUCGAUAGCUCCCUCUCUAACUGUUACGUACAUACUUUUUAACAAACAUAGUUUGCUAGGAAUAACGUAUAAAUGUCGAUUUCAUGUUUGUUUAAUUAGUUUUCUCUGUGAUGCUUUCCCAUUUAUACCGUGAGAGCCAAACGUCUUUUUUACAUACAUAUGUAUGAGAAAACAUAUACAAUGUAUGUAUACGCUAUAAUUCCCAGUCGCAAAUUCGGGAACGUGUCAGGGAAAAUAUAGAAACUUGAUAUAGGCAUUGCAUUGAAGUCUUCGUAUAGUAGACUUCUAUAAUGCAAUUAGAUGUAGUACAUAGGUACUCUUUUGGAUAUGUUAGGGAAAAUAAGAAACUCAAAAUUUGCCGAUUGCUCAUAUUUUUACAAUCAUGCAUAUUCUGGUAAAGGCCGAACU